CUUGUAAGACUCUAGACAAAAGCAGAAACCCAGAAAACCAUUCAUAUCCUAUAAUAAGACCCCAAAUGUAUGCAGAUGAAAAAUACUGACACUGGGAGGGAAGAUAGACAAACAAGGACACACAAACUGUGGUUAGAAUAUGGUGGUGGUGGUGGUGGUAGAUAGGAUGAAACAGAGUAAGACCGAAAGAUAGGAUAUAAGGAAAAAAAAGAAAAACAUGAACAACACUUCUGCACCUGCUCCUAAAAUGGCAUUGUAUUUUUCAGAGGAAGCAGACCGAGGUUGAGCAAUGACAGAAUAGACAGUUUGGCGGGGGUGGGAGGGAAAUGGAUUCGGGUUCAGAUUUGGACUCGACAAUAUAGUGACAUGUGUAAAUAAUGUACACUUGCCAGAUUUUGAAGAAUAGAAAGAUGGGGUGAAGAAACCAAUUGGUGGAAUAUUUUGAAAUUGGGUAAUGUUCUAUAUAAGUGUAAAGCUGAGAAUGAGAUACUACGAGUACUAGCAGGUACGUCCUCUGCGGCAUCCAAGUGCACCAGCACCAGCAGUUAUGGUUCCCACCAUGGCCGAUGACUUGGCUCCCAAGCUUGAGGCCCUGGCAUAGACAGCUGACGCUCCAGCUCCAGAUGGAGUGAAGAAGGCACCAUUGAGUAGAAGAUCACCUUCUGACCUCCAGUUCCAGCCCCUCCACUGAGUUUGCGAUGUCUCCACUCUCUUGGUAACCUUCACAACGCGAUUUUUCACCAAUAAUCAGAAAACUUAGUAUGUAAACUUCGUCAUAAUCAAAAGGUAGAUGUGAGUAGCGAUUAAGACAAUACCUCCUUUGCAAAGGGGUUGGUUGGAGCUGCAUAUCUGUUGCCUUGGCUGUUGAUAGUGGGGUCUGCACUUCCACCGAUGGCAUACAUUUCCCAGUGAGUGUAGUCGUUGUUCACCACAUGGAAAUAUCCAUGUCUGCACCUGCAUUAUUCAUAGUUCAUAGCAGCAUUAACAAAUGCAACUCUGCUACCAAGGCAAAAUCCGAUUUCAAUAUUGAAUAAUGUCAUAAGUAGGGUUGCUGUUUCUUGCAGCCAAGUUUUAUGUCCAGAACUCAUCCUAAUUGAAAUCGACAUAUCAGACAUGGGAAGCUAAAUAUGCCGGUUCUAGUUGAAAAAUUACCUUGGCAUUCUCUGGAUAAGUCCCUCUCCAAAGUGGUUGUAGGCAAUAGUCACUUGCAUUUGCUUGUCCCUGGUAUAAGAAUCGCUGUGGCCCAACAGCAUUACCUGAUUCAAUUGCAUAGAUAAAAAUGUCAGUAUCACAACUAAAAUAUAGAUGGAAGUAAAUAUUAAUCGGGAAGAGGCAUUAGACAUACUUCAUUGUGGUGGGUAAGGUGGUUGUUGGAGAUGGUAAUAGCAGUUGACCCCAUGACAGCAUCAACAAGACCAUCAGCACAAUUGGAGAGGGAAUUGUGAUCAACCCAGAUAUGGCUUGACCCGAAGAUGGAGAUAGCAUCACCAUCAGCCAUUGUCCUCCAUCCAAAGUGAGAUGGGGAGCUCCUCACCAAAGCAUUUCCUGUGGGCUUGCAGUCAUGGAUAUGCAGACCAUGAACUAUAACAUUUGUGACAAACUGGAUUGUAAUGCAUGCUCCAUUAGCAAUGUGGACAUUGACUCCACGGCCAUCAAUGGUCUUGAAGCUAUUCAUGAUAAGCUCCUGCUUCAAUUGGAUCACCAUGUCACGUUUGAACACAAUCCAGAGGGGCUCAUCCUGGAUGACAGCAUGGCGCAGAGUGCCGGGUCUGGGGUUAACGGGAUCAUCAUCAUUAGGAUCAGUGACAACAUAGAAGCGUCCAUCACGACCACCAAUGGCAUUUCUGCCAAAACCAAUUCCACAGUCUGCAAGACGCUUGCGGUUCUUUUGCCAGUUGGGAUCACAACGCCAGCAAUCAUCAAUGGGAUUUCCAGUUCCACAUGAGAAGUAGCCCAGCUUUCUCCUUUCAGUGCUGUUGCGGAUACUCCUGCAAUAUCCAAAGUGUUUCUACUAUUAACAUUACUGUCAAAAAAAAAAAUUGUUCAAACAUAAUUCAAGCAUGAUCAUGCCCCAGUGACAAACAAGCAGACAGAUAGUUCAUGUCAUAUUCAUGGUAAAGUGGGAUAGUAAUUUCCUAUAAAAUUUUAGUGAUGGUAAUUUCUGCCCAGUUUCCUUUUAUGUCGUAACUUGCUCAGCCUGGAAAUUGCAAGUAGUUUGUCCCAUUUAUGAAGACAAUUAGGUCACUAUCCAUAAAGAAUACAAUUGCUGGUUAACUGUUGUCCAUAAAUGAAAUCAGAGUAUAUGUGACAUUUUUAAUCCUUGUUUUUGUUCAAUAAUCAUAUUCCAUUUGUAAAAAGUAACCAAACAAUAUAACAAUCUAAAUCUUACCAAAUCAUUUCAGCCAAACAUCAUAAGAAGCUUAACAAUGCUUUCACUUUCACAAGAUCUUUCAAAAAAAUCUCCACAUAAAAGUAGUACUGAAAGUAACAAGAACAACAAUUAAAAAAGCAGGCAAAAAGGUGGGGUUCAAAAAGCCUAUGGCAUCUUUAUUGGAUGGCCUCCUUUGUUUGACACAAAAAUGUACUCCACCAUAUGAGUAACUUCACAAAGUGAAAUUCCAAAUCAACACAGACCAAGCUAUUAUCAAAUUCACUGGCUCUCAGCACCAGAUAAGGUAUUUAUUUAUGUUUAUGAGCAUCAGACACCAUGUGGGAUUGCAUAUGCUCAUGUGUAAACUCUAAACCAGUGAUUUAUAACAGAAAAGGUUCAUUUGAAAAUGCAAGCAAUCCCAAACACUAAACAAAACUGGUAAGCGGGUUCAAUUCAAAUCCGAAUUGGGUUAGUUGGGUUAGGUUCCAAUUCCCUCAAUAGGAGCACCAAUCACAGCUACAUUUCCCCCUUACCCACCAAAACUGAAUUAAAACUUCCCAGUACCAAAAAAUAAAAAUGAAUAUCACUAUCUACCAUCAUGUGCAUUACAGAGUCACACAUGCUCAAACCAGAAAAAAAAAAUAUAUAAUCAUAAUCAGAAAUAAAAUUGAGUAGGACCAUAUAUAAGUUAGCUGUCAUUAUCCAAUAGAGAAAGAGAGAACGCACAUGUCAACCAUGGCAGCAAUUUCAUCUGGGUUCUCAACUGCAUGCUUAUUCAACCCUCCAUCAUCAUUCUCAUUCACCCUGAAGAAUAUUCAAUCAACCAAAAAAUAAAAAAUAAUUAGCUCACAACAAAAAAAAGAAUUAGGUAAUUACAGUUUUAACCCCAUGUGAGUCCAAAACAUUUCACUCUCGGACCCAGGACCGUUGAGGGUGGGUGGGACCAAUCAGAGCGAGACACGUUUCGGUGGGAGACACGAUUCACUGUGGGGACUCUGCCCGAGAGGCGAGUGCAGACAGUGUCGAGUAGAAACGGUUAGGGGCGGUUAGUCGGCGGUGCGAAUCCCGUGACGAAAUUGCCCCCGAGGAUAAACAUGAUGAGGAGUGAGGUGAAGAGUGUAAAUUAGAGUCGGUGGUGAGGGUAAAAUUGGAAAUGCGGUGAAAGGAAGAAGGGUGGAAUCCGAGGGGAACGAACAUAACGGCCCAGAUCUAGGGAUCUGGAUCUCAACGGCUGUGAUUGCCAUGUACGGUUAACCCCAACGGCUCAGAAACGAGAAGGAACACACGCGACGGUUGAGAUCCGUCCACGUGGACAACAGUAGAAAACAAAACUGAAAAUAAUUAACUCUGGUUGGGUCAAAAGAAAACCCACCUGG
rnacentral:lncRNA from 1 species